rnacentral:rRNA from 1 species
ACUCCUACGGGGAGGCAGCAGUGGGGGAAUAUUGCACAAUGGGGGAAACCCUGAUGCAGCCAUGCCGCGUGUGUGAAGAAGGCCUUCGGGUUGUAAAGCACUUUCAGUAGGGAGGAAGGUAGUGUAGUUAACACCUGCACUAUUUGACGUUACCUACAGAAGAAGCACCGGCUAACUCCGUGCCAGCAGCCGCGGUAAUACGGAGGGGUGCGAGCGUUAAUCGGAAUUACUGGGCGUAAAGCGCAUGCAGGCGGCCUGUUAAGUCAGAUGUGAAAGCCCGGGGGCUUAACCUCGGAAUUGCAUUUGAAACUGGCAGGCUAGAGUCUUGUAGAGGGGGUAGAAUUUCAGGUGUAGCGGUGAAAUGCGUAGAGAUCUGAAGGAAUACCAGUGGCGAAGGCGGCCCCCUGGACAAAGACUG